UACGUAGGGUGCAAGCGUUAAUCGGAAUUACUGGGCGUAAAGCGUGCGCAGGCGGUUGUGCAAGACAGAUGUGAAAUCCCCGGGCUUAACCUGGGAAUUGCAUUUGUGACUGCACGGCUAGAGUGUGUCAGAGGGGGGUAGAAUUCCACGUGUAGCAGUGAAAUGCGUAGAUAUGUGGAGGAAUACCGAUGGCGAAGGCAGCCCCCUGGGAUAACACUGACGCUCAUGCACGAAAGCGUGAGGAGCAAACAGG
rnacentral:rRNA from 1 species